UUGGAUGGUUCAUUUUGUGUGGAGAGUGCAAAGUCCAAAAAGUGUAGUUAUGUUGUAAACUUUGAUAUACCAGAUUGCACAUGUGUAGAUUUUCGGAGAUAUAAAUACCCAUGCAAGCACUUCUGUGCAAUCUUUAUUUUUUACCCAGAGUGGGGUUUUGAUAAAAUGCCAGAAAGUUAUGAGACUAGUCCAUUAAUCUGUCUUGAUGAAAUGUAUGGUGUGGGCUUUAGAAGUGGCUCUUUAGUAAUUUCAUGCGAAGGUAGUAGUACUGAUGAAGCAGCUGAGGAGGCUGUCAAGGCAGCAAAUACAGAUGGUCUUGUUCAAACCCAGAAUAUUUCUUCGCAGCAGUUUGAAGCGAGGGAGCUGUGUAAACAGAUUUAUAAUCUCACAUACAACUGCAGCAACAGCGAAACAUUACAAAAAGUACUUGAAUCACUGAGCAACUGUGUGCAAGAUUUGCAAUUAGCAAAUCCUGAAGUUGGUGGUCUCCCAUUAGUAGUGCCAUCAACUUCCAAACAAUAGUGAAGAACGAUGCCAAAAGCCUUAAGAGAUCUGUCUUAAACACAUUAUAACUUUCCAUUUGAAGGGUAAGAAAUGAUGGUUUAUUUGGAUUUUAGAUAGCUCUUUGUCUAUGUAAAAUACGAAUAAGCUCCGUCAUUUCUGAUCCUCGAGAUGGAAUGCUAUGAGGUCUUUAUGUUGGUCUCUGCUUUUAAACUUUGUUGCACAUUUGAAUUUCGAAGUAGCAAUAGAUAAAAUAUUAUAAAAAGGAUAGUUGCUACAUUUGUGUGUGUGUGUGUGUUUGUGAGUGAGUGUGCGCGCGCGCGCGCUUUUGAAAAGGCCCUUGUUGCCCGAAAGAUAAGUCCGACAGUCUUUUUGUUGUGCCUUUCUGUGACUCGGCAUCUUCACUAUUUGGUGAGCAGCAACAACUAUCCUUUUCAUAAUAUUGUUACAUUCCAUCCUGGAUUUUUCGUUGUUCACCAGAGAAAAGAUUUUUCUGAGGAAUUAAACUAGAUGAUAGUGUAGAACUUGCAAACUUUUUAAAAUAUGAAGUAAAAGAUUUUAACUUUAAAUUAGUUUAAUUCAAAUAUGGGACAAUGUUGAGAAUUGAAAAGGUGGAAAAAAUAAAUAAGAUAUAUCUUAGUGGCAUUGAGAUGUCGUAUGACUGAUGGAGAAAAGAUUUUGCAUUUCUUUUUCCAAGUAAGAAUGCACUUGCUCUCACUUGCUUCAAUACAUGUCUAGUGAUUCACGUGAAACAGAGAAAAAGAUAAAGACUGCCCUGUUAAUGAACAUGUGAGAUUGCCCAGUAUCACUCUGACAGAAGAGUGUGCUGUUUCCUUGAUAUGGUAUCUGGUCAUCAAUGUCAUUGGGACCAAAUGAAAGUUACUGCAGAGACCACACAGAAGCAAUUACUGUUACUGGAAUACCAGUAAUGUUUAUUAAAUUCAGUUAUAAAGUAGUUCUGGGCAUUGCAGCUGGUGAGUAAUGUCAUUGGGCACCAAAAGAAGUUCAGUUACGAUGGAUUUGUGGCCUUCAGUCCGUGGGAAAAUUCACACCAGAUUGAAUCAAGACUGUUAUAUUCCAAGGAUAUCGAAGAUUGAUAGUAUUCCUGAAGGAAAACAAUCCAUGUAGUAUUUCACGUGUGUAUCAAACUGCCAUUUGUUGUGGCACAUAAAUGUUUGCAACUUGAUUGUAAUUUUUGACAGGUUUCUCAACAAUCCAAGAAUUUCUUGUAAUGAGAAGUAGACAUUGUUGCUUGGGUAAAGGAAAUACAAAUCACGGUCAAUACAACUACCUUAUUAACUUUCCACAGAUAAAUAUUUUUCACUACUGCUACUUAAAAAUUCAAAUGUGUGACAGUUUGCUUACAGAACUUGGCAUAAAGAUCUCCCUUAUUUGUAUUUUUUAGAUAGCUCUUAUUGUUUGAUCCUUCAAAUGGAAUGCUAUGACCUCCAUGUGAUCUAUUCCUUAGUAGUUAAUUAUCCAUUAAGGCACAAAUAUAUGAACAUUACAAUGAGAGGGGUCUUUAUGCCAGGCCCUGUAAAAGUAAUGGCAUCUUACUUAAUAUUAUUGUUGGGAAUUUGAUGGCACAGCUGUGGGGAGACCACAAAUUUCAGGGUUUGCUAACUGCAAAUCUGGCACACAGUUGCUGAGUGAUUCAAGUACUUUUCAUAAUGUUUCACUGUUGAUACAGUUGUAUGUGAGAUUAUAAACUUGUUUGAACAACACCUUCACUUCAAAUUGCUGCAAAGAAAUGGUUAAGGUAUCAGUGUGAUGCUCUAUGUGUUUCCUCAACUUUGUCCUCAUUGCUACUAUCUUCAUGUGAAAUUACUGCAGACACACUUCUGAAACCAAACCUGUACAUCUCGUGGAGACAGAUUAAUGGGCUAUUCCUGCAGCCUUCUGGUAUUUUAUCAAAACCCCACUCUGGAUAGAAAAUAAAGAUCGCACAGAAAUGCUUGCAUGGGUAUUUAUAUAUCUUAAAAUCUUCACAUGUGCAGUUUGGUAGAGUAAAGCUUACAACAUAAUUACAGUCUUUGAACAUUGUACUCUCCAUACAAAACAUUGUCCAACUUCACAUUCACUAAUCUUGCAGUUAACUCAACUUUCCCUGGUUCAUAUCACUGCAUGACAUGUUUCACAAACUUGCUUUUUUUAAAAAAAAUGAAAAAACAGUGGAACAUGUCUGUUAUGAUUUGAUGGCAGAAUUCUGCAGACAGUACUUUCUAAUUAGGCUUGGAAGAAAUUUAUUUCUUAUAUCCCUAGUAGCCCCAUUGAAGGUCCCAUCUGUGUUCCAUUUUAGGAAAAAAAAAAUGUUUACAAUCUUGUUCAUGGCUUCAACUCCACUUGUAAUGUCAAUGGUAUCAAAAUUGCCCUUGUCCUCAUAAGCUUCCACUCACUUUUCAUGUACCAGUAGCCGCUGCUGUUAAACGUACGGUGAUGCAUAUUCGUUUCUCUGAGAAGCCUCACUAUCUCUUUUGUAUGAUCUGUAAAUUCUCUGUUGGUGAUUCUAAAAUUUCUUGCCACAUGCCCAGAAAUCUCUUCAUGUCAUUUGGUAUAUAUUCAGCCAUCUUCCUCAAACCUGUUUCAGACUGAAAAGGCACAAGUACACUUUUGUCUGAGGAAAUGCUAGAUCAGUUGCAUUUAUCUCAGACUAUAAGAAAUCAGUAACCCAGUAGAUGGGAUUCCAAUCCUUGAAAAUGGCUAGUGCUUCAUGAAUGGAUCUCGCAUUUUCAACUUGAAUGAAAAAGAAAACCAAAUAACCUGCAUUACUCUUUACAGCUAUAAAAAAAUAAAGGCAUAUCAUGUGUUGUUGUUUUGUAUGUUGCAUAUAACAACUAUCCCUGUACUUCUUCAAAAGAUCUCUUUGCUAACAGCUCUGAUAGAAAAAAGUUAUGGUUUCACUCCUCCAUUGGCACCUAUACCAUGUUUGUAAUAAAUCAUGUGAUUGCUUUAUUCCUUGUGCCACUCGUCAGCAUGAUUCUGCAAUCUAGUCUCAUCAAACAAUGCUUUAUUUGUACAUUACAAGGUCCAAUAUGUGUGAAUAUAAUUUCUUUCAGUGGGGUAAAAUGUAGUAUUCAUUAGACCUGAUAUGUGUGUCCCAGUGAAAUUAUCAAUAAAUGUAUCUAGAGCCAAAUUAUUGGCUGUAUGAUGUCAUUCCAUCGUGCACCUGAAUUUGUAUUUCCUUUACAAGCUAUUGUUAGCAUGUGUGUGUGCUGAUUUGCUGGAGAAGCAUAGAGAUAGUCUUUCAGCUAUCUUUGAGACAUUUAAAGGAGGUGCUUUAGAAAUGAGUGUCCUGAUUGAUAUGAAAAACAGUUUUCACAUUUUCUGUACAAACUGUAAACAGUUCCUCAGUUGGUGAUUGUGGAAGAGAUUGCCAUAGCCACAGUAUUGAUCCACUGUCAGGUGGUAAACCUAGGAUUUCCUUCCAGUAUGAGCCAAGUGAAGUAAAACUGUGGUUGGAGAAAUGUUUUAUAUUCUUAAACUGAGUAUUUGCAACCCAUUAUGUUGGAUUGCAGUUCAUGUGUCAACACUUAAAAAUGUUUAGUUCUUCACUGAUGACACGUGAUACAAUUUCAAUUUUUAAGGCUAUUCUGUGUCAAGUUAAAUUUUGAAUUAUCCAUUUAAGCUUAUUUUUUUGCUGUGUGGCAGAUGGAUUUAUGUUCAUGUAAUAUUUUUAAUGUUGAUUGUGGUAAGGUGUAAUCAUAUGUAAA